GGGUCCCUACGGGAGGCAGCAGUGGGGGAUAUUGCACAAUGGGGGGAACCCUGAUGCAGCGACGCCGCGUGGGUGUAGAAGCGCCUCGGCGCGUAAAGCCCUGUCAGCAGGGAAGAAAAUGACGGUACCUGAAGAAGAAGCCCCGGCUAACUACGUGCCAGCAGCCGCGGUAAUACGUAGGGGGCAAGCGUUAUCCGGAUUUACUGGGUGUAAAGGGGGCGCAGACGGCGAUGCAAGCCAGGAGUGAAGGCCCGGGGCCCAACCCCGGGACUGCUCUUGGAACUGCGGGGUUG
rnacentral:rRNA from 1 species